CCCCACCCCCCCCCCCAAAGACUUUUCCAUUCCCAUUCCCUCCUUCAUUACCCAUCACUCUCUCUCUCCUCUCAAACCCUAAAAUCUCCAUUACCUGUCACCCCUCAUUGAAGCUCCAGCGACCACGGCAACCACCCAAGUUUGUACACCGGCGACGACAUCCAAGCUGUUCCGACAAGCAAUCUUAAAGUUACAUGGUAUUCUUCUUAAGAAACCAACUCCAAUACAAGAGGACUGCGACGAUGAAAGGUGGAAAUAUUUCAAGGUGCCCUUGAUGGUACAAUGAUUCUAGUUAACGUUCCUUGUGAAGAUCGAUCCAAAUAUCGCACUAGAAAAGGUACCCUUGCUAUGAAUGUACUAGGAGUAUGCUCACCCGAAAUGGAAUUUAUAUAUAUGUCUUACCUGGAAGGGAUCGACACAUAAUGGUCGGAUUCUUCGAGAUGCUAUUUCUAGGCCUAAUGGGUUGAAAGUUCCAAAAGGAUGGAUGAAAGUAGUGCAAGUAGAGGUGGAAGGGAAAAAAACAAACGAUUUUGGACCGCUCAAGAAGAUAAAGUUCUUGUAGAAGCAUUGUCAGAGCUAGCUGUCGAUCCUCAUUGGAAGUGUGAAAAUGGGUUUAGAAGCGGCUACAUGGUUCGCUUAGAGGAGAUCAUAGGUAAGGCUCUUCCUGGUUGUGGGUUGAAGGCUAUGCCACACAUCCAUUCUCGACUGAAGACACUUGGAGCAAAGUUUAGGGCUAUUUCUACUAUGUUAAAUACAAGUUUAGGGCUGUUUAUGAUGAGUUUUGCAAGGUUACACUCGAUUCAAGUGAUGAUGAGGGAGUUGCUGCUAGUGAUAAUGGCACUCAGACCGUUACUUUUCCUCCAAAAAAGAUGAAGGCUGAAAAAAGUUCCAAAAGAAAUAAGAAAGGAAAAGGUGGUGCUGGAAGUAAUGAGUUGGCUAGCUUAUAAGCAUUCAUGAAAGACAUGAAUGUUCAUCUUUCCACUAUGGCAAAUGUGAUGGCACGCACUGAUGAUCGUGAAUAGCGUGCGGAUGAAAGAGAGCAAAAAUUAGUUGAAAAGAGUGAGCAAGUGCUAGAGGAACUACUCUCUUUCAAUUUAGAAGGUGUCACAGAAGCCAAGGUUUGAAGUGGCUAACAUUCUAACCGCACAACUAAACAAGCUCAUGGUAUUUUCAAAGUGUCCCGACGCUUUGAAAAGUGCUUAUGUUAAGAAUCUUCUAGGAGGAAGUGGAAAUUUUAAUGCUUAAAUCUAGUGUGGUGCUUUCAUGUAUGGUUUUGAAUUAGGUGUUAUUCACAAGCUACUACUUUUGGCAUGAACUUUAUCUAGAUAGGACUAUUGGCAAAGACUUGGGUUGAAUGUUAAUCCUAUUAGAACACUUUUGGUAUGAACUUUUAUCUAGGAACAUGUACUUUGCAUUGGUAUUAUUUUCAUCAAGAGGUGAUUAUUUGGAUUUGUAAUUUAUGGAACUAGAAAGAUGUUAUUUGGAGUUUUUUUUUUUUUUU